AACGAACGCUGGCGGCAUGCCUAACACAUGCAAGUCGAACGAGACCUUCGGGUCUAGUGGCGCACGGGUGCGUAACGCGUGGGAACCUGCCCUUAGGUUCGGAAUAACUCCCCGAAAGGGGUGCUAAUACCGGAUAAUGUCUUCGGACCAAAGAUUUAUCGCCUUUGGAUGGGCCCGCGUUGGAUUAGCUAGUUGGUAGGGUAAAAGCCUACCAAGGCGACGAUCCAUAGCUGGUCUGAGAGGAUGAUCAGCCACACUGGGACUGAGACACGGCCCAGACUCCUACGGGAGGCAGCAGUGGGGAAUAUUGGACAAUGGGCGAAAGCCUGAUCCAGCAAUGCCGCGUGAGUGAUGAAGGCCUUAGGGCUGUAAAGCUCUUUUACCCGGGAUGAUAAUGACAGUACCGGAAGAAUAAGCUCCGGCUAACUCCGUG
rnacentral:rRNA from 1 species